rnacentral:rRNA from 1 species
UACGGGGGGGGCAAGCGGUUGUUCGGAAUUACUGGGCGUAAAGGGUUCGUAGGUGGCCAACUAAGUCAGACGUGAAAUCCCUCAGCUCAACUGGGGAACUGCGUCUGAUACUGGUUGGCUUGAGUGCAGGAGAGGAACGCGGAAUUCCAGGUGUAGCGGUGAAAUGCGUAGAUAUCUGGAGGAACACCGGUGGCGAAGGCGGCGUUCUGGACUGCAACUGACACUGAGGCGCGAAAGCGUGGGGAGCAAACAGG